rnacentral:lncRNA from 1 species
UGGAAGGUACAUCCAUAUAUACUGCAAUAAAAAGGUAUUUGGCAUUUUAGUGUCCUGCUUGUGGCCCCUGCUUCUGAGAGCUUUUUGUGCGUGGUGGAGGUGAAACAUUGUUGCUCUGGGAACUAGUGGUCCUAUUAUUUUAACUUGUUUGCAUCCUUUGACCUUUCUCAUUUAUAUUGCAAAAAGGAAUUCAACAUAUUAUUGUCCGUCCAGCUACGGCCCCUGCUUUUAAGAAAUCUUUGUAUAGGUGAAACACGGUACCAGGAACUACUAUUAAACUUAAAAAACCAUUCUAAUAUUCACGCGAAACACGUCCUCUGCUUAUCUAUUGGUUGUGCGUUUCGCGCAUUUUUUUGCUAUUCAUGUAUUGAAAAAUAACGUAAGGCAUGCUCUCGUGUGCUGAAAAACAUUUUUGAUAUAUCAUCGAUUGAUAUAAUUAUUAUUGGGAUGAUAUGAUCAUUGAGAUCACCAUAAUAUAUCACUAAAAUAUUAUUAAAAAUAAAAUUUCACUACAUUAGAUAUAUCAUCAAAUAGUAAUAGUGAUAAUAUAUAAAAUAUCAUAAAUAAUUUUAUAUAUUAAUACAUAAUAAUUACUCUACAAUUUGAUUAAACAUUCUUCAUUCACAACUCCUCACAAAUAAGUAUAGCAGUAGUAAUAAUAAUAUUUAUUUAUUUAUUUAUUAUUAUUAUUAUAAAUAUUUAUUUCGAUGAAAUUAUUAUAAUAAUAUUAUAUAUAAUCGGAUUUGACUAGGCUCAGUCAAUUUUGACCAUCAAUAUCAGGACUAUCCAUUAGGAAUGAUUUAGUCCAUCAAAAUAAAAUGAGAAAAAAAAAGUAUGAAGAAUUUAGCAUGAUCCGUCCAUUCCAAUUAACCAUAUCUACCUAUAGAAAUAAAAUAGAUAUCUAAUAAAUAAAUAAAAAAUAUUCAUAUCAUUUAACUAAAUCUAUCAAUAAAAAUAAAAUUGACAUCUAAUAGAUAGGUAUCUAUAAAAAAAGAUGAUGAAGAUUUUUAUUUUCUCUCCAAUUUACUGACUUGAGAUAUUUUUGUCCCAAAAUAAUUUCAGCAUAUCACUACUAUCCGAUGAUGUGCUAUCAUAUAGGAUAUGUGUGGUGAUAGCAUCAGUGUAUUAUACAGUGAUGCUAUCAUUGAAUUUAUCAUCGAAUUCUUCAUCACUGAAUGUAAUUUUGUAACACCAAACAAGAUGAUCACAUCAUCUAAUUCAAGUCACUGGGGUGAUAUAAAAUAUUAUCCCCUUCCAAAGGCCUGGGUAAAAACCGCAAAAAAAAAAAAAUUAAAUUAAAUAAAAGAAAAGGAAGUUUCAUAUCAAAAUCUUGCAAUGGUUUUUUUUAUUGGUCAUCGCUCUCCAAAUAAUGCUGGUUAUGACAUCAAUUGGGCCACAGAAAUUACAAGUAUUCUUCGAAUGAGAUUACGCAUUCCAUUUAGGGGAGGGAAAAGAAAAUCCAAGAGCGUACAUUAAGAGCAUCAACAGGGUAGAACCAGCUCUACCAUAUUAUUUGCACUAACAAUUAACCACAAAAAAAAGAUUACAAGCAUGACGUGCUGAACUGCUAUUGAAAUCAAUCAUGAAGCCCAAAGGAUCACAAUUAGGGAAAACUGAGAUCUAGAGUAGGGCUAGGGGCACACCAAGCACAAUUUAGUCGAAAAAAAAUUAAAAGCAAAUUCAUCUCGUUUGUAAUAUUUCGAAGUUAAGAAUAGAUUAGAUUCUUCUCCUCUCGAUUGACACUAUCUUAUGGGAAAAAAUAAUUUUUUAAUGUAAAUGAUCAAAAUCAAAUCAACAAAAAACAACAAGAGGUAAGAUUUAGGAAAGAAAAGGAAAGGAUCAAGCCUGAGAUGGAGAGGGUCGCCUAGCCCUGGGUUUCCAUCGGCAUCUCCCUUAUCCAUAACGGCGCUUCUUCUCGAAUGAUUGAGAUGCUUCCGCCGCCAUUACACAUUAGAAGAAGGAUUCGGAGGAAGAAAGAACCCUGGCUCGCCUGGUUAUCAAAACCCCAGAAUUAGAUUUUUGGAGAACGCCGGAAGAAGAGCAGAGGAAAGGGAGUG